GUCUUUUUGAUAAUAAUUUAAAGUCUAACCUGCCCAAUGAAUAUUUAAAUGGCCGCAGUAUUUUGACUGUGCAAAGGUAGCAUAAUCAUUAGUUUUUUAAUUGAAAGCUGGAAUGAAUGGUUGAACGAAAGAAUUACUGUCUCAAAUUAAUUUAAUUAAAAUUUUAUUUUUAAGUUAAAAAGCUUAAAUAUUUUUAAAAGACGAGAAGACCCUAUAGAGUUUAAUAUUUAAUUAUUUAAUUUUUUUUAUAAUUAUUAAUAAUUUAAUUAAAUAUUUUAUUGGGGUGAUAAAUAAAUUUAAUUAACUUUAUUUUAUUUUAAACAUAAAUUUAUGAAUUUUUGAUCCAUUAAUAAUGAUUAUAAGAUAAAAUUACCUUAGGGAUAACAGCGUUAUCUUUUUAGAGAGUUCAAAUCGAAAAAAAGGAUUGCGACCUCGAUGUUGGAUUAAAGUUAAUUUAUGGUGUAGAAGCUAUAAUAUUAAGUCUGUUCGACUUUUAAAACUUUACAUGAUCUGAGUUUAAACCGGCGUGAGCCAGGUUGGUUUCUAUCUUUAAAUAAUUUAAAUAUUUUAGUACGAAAGGACCAAAUAUUUAUAAAAUUUAUUUUAAUUUGACUAU
rnacentral:rRNA from 1 species